rnacentral:rRNA from 1 species
AUGGCCGGAAGGAAGGGCGGCGACAGGAAGAAGGCGGUGACCAGGUCCGUCAAGGCCGGGCUCCAGUUCCCGGUCGGCCGCAUCGGGCGCUACCUCAAGAAGGGCCGCUACGCGCAGCGCGUCGGCUCCGGCGCCCCCGUCUACCUCGCCGCCGUCCUCGAGUACCUCGCCGCCGAGGUCCUGGAGCUCGCCGGCAACGCGGCCAAGGACAACAAGAAGACCCGCAUCAUCCCGCGCCACCUGCUGCUCGCUGUCCGCAACGAUCAGGAGCUCGGCAAGCUGCUCGCCGGCGUCACCAUCGCCCACGGCGGUGUGAUCCCCAACAUCAACUCCGUGCUGCUCCCCAAGAAGUCCCCUGCCGCCGCCGAGAAGGAGGCCAAGUCGCCCAAGAAGAAGACGGCCGCCAAGUCCCCCAAGAAGAAGACGGCCGCCACGAAGGAGUAG